rnacentral:rRNA from 1 species
GACGAACGCUGGCGGCGUGCUUAACACAUGCAAGUCGUACGGUAAGGCCCUUUCGGGGGUACACGAGUGGCGAACGGGUGAGUAACACGUGAGUAACCUGCCCACAACUUUGGGAUAACGCUAGGAAACUGGUGCUAAUACUGGAUAUGUGCUCCUGCUGCAUGGUGGGGGUUGGAAAGCUCCGGCGGUUGUGGAUGGACUCGCGGCCUAUCAGCUUGUUGGUGGGGUAGUGGCCUACCAAGGCGGCGACGUGUAGCCGGCCUGAGAGGGUGACCGGCCACAUUGGGACUGAGAUACGGCCCAGACUCCUACGGGAGGCAGCAGUGGGGAAUAUUGCACAAUGGGCGCAAGCCUGAUGCAGCAACGCCGCGUGCGGGAUGACGGCCUUCGGGUUGUAAACCGCUUUCAGCAGGGACGAAGCUUUUUGUGACGGUACCUGCAGAAGAAGCACCGGCUAACUACGUG